rnacentral:rRNA from 1 species
AUGAACGCUAGCGGGAGGCCUAACACAUGCAAGCCGAGCGGUAUUGUUUCUUCGGAAAUGAGAGAGCGGCGUACGGGUGCGGAACACGUGUGCAACCUGCCUUUAUCUGGGGGAUAGCCUUUCGAAAGGAAGAUUAAUACUCCAUAACAUAUUGAACGGCAUCGUUCGAUAUUGAAAGCUCCGGCGGAUAGAGAUGGGCACGCGCAAGAUUAGCUAGUUGGUGAGGUAACGGCUCACCAAGGCGAUGAUCUUUAGGGGGCCUGAGAGGGUGAUCCCCCACACUGGUACUGAGACACGGACCAGACUCCUACGGGAGGCAGCAGUGAGGAAUAUUGGUCAAUGGGUGCAAGCCUGAACCAGCCAUCCCGCGUGAAGGACGACUGCCCUAUGGGUUGUAAACUUCUUUUGUAUAGGGAUAAACCUGCCCUCGUGAGGGUAGCUGAAGGUACUAUACGAAUAAGCACCGGCUAACUCCGUG